UACGUAGGGUGCGAGCGUUAAUCGGAAUUACUGGGCGUAAAGCGUGCGCAGGCGGUUCGUUGUGUCGGUGGUGAAAUCCCCGGGCUUAACCUGGGAAUGGCCAUGGAAACUGGCGAACUGGAGUGUGGCAGAGGGGGGUGGAAUUCCGCGUGUAGCAGUGAAAUGCGCAGAUAUCGGGAAGAACACCCGUGGCGAAGGCGGCUUUCUGGGACGGUACUGACGCUGAGACGCGAAAGCGUGGGGAGCGAACAGG
rnacentral:rRNA from 1 species